rnacentral:rRNA from 1 species
AUGCAGAACGAGUUACAGCAUACGAGUGCAACGCCAAUGGAUUUUACAUUCCAGUUGUUACAACGCAUUACAAACAACUUCUCCAAGGAUCGCAUAAUUGGUUAUGGCGGGUACGGAGUAGUUUACAAGGGAGUACUCGACAAUGGGGAAGAGAUUGCCGUGAAGAAGCUUUAUUUUAAGCAUCCAGAACUUGAUGACGACAAGCAAUUUGCAAAUGAGUGUACUAACCUUAUGAUGGUCCAACAUCAAAAUAUUGUGCGCUUAGUUGGCUACUGCUAUGAAAUAGCACAUAAAGCCGUGGAGCACAAUGGAAGAUAUGUUUUAGCUAGCGUGGAAGAUAGAGCACUCUGCUUUGAAUACUUGCAGGGAGGAAGCCUUGACAAACAUCUUUCUGGUGAAUCAUGCGGGCUUGGUUGGCGCACACGUUACAAAAUAAUUAAGGGAAUAUGCGAGGGAUUACAUUACCUUCAUAAUGGUUCCAAAGAUCCUAUAUACCAUCUGGACUUGAAACCUGCGAACAUAUUGUUGGAUAAGAACAUGACACCAAAAAUAGGAGAUUUUGGGUUGUCGAGACUCUUCGAUUCAACACAAACCUAUACCACAAAAGCAAUUAGAGGAACACCUGGAUACAUGCCACCAGAAUACAUCGACAGAUUCAAAAUCACACAAAAGUUUGACGUCUUCAGUUUGGGCGUUAUCAUCAUACAAGUAAUGGCAGGACGUGAGGGCUACUCCCAGUGUGGAGAUAUGUCUUCCCAAGAGUUUAUUGAUGUUGUACAUGGCAACUGGUUGAAAACACUGCAGGCAACAAUGUCAUUGCAUGCAGAACUUGAAGUUAUGACCUGCAUUGAAAUAGCAUUAAGAUGUGUGGAGGCCGACAGAGUGAAAAGGCCUACUAUAGCCGAGAUUGUCGAUGAACUUAAUAAGAUUGAUAUUGCAAAAAGGUCACUUGUUGACCAGGUCAACUUAGAAAGCAAGAAGGUGUCCAACCAAUACGCGAGUUCAGGUGCUGCUGAUGCAGAGUCUGCCUUGAGUGCCGUUUACAAUCCUAGAAUCAAGCAUGGGGACGAAGGUACAAGUACAGGGAAGGAAGAGAAAGAACGCAGGACUCUAGACCACAAGGUCCAGGAGGAAGAAGACCCAGCUGAAUGCUACAGAACUCAAGAUCCUGGUCCGCGAUCUGGUGGGACACUUGACAAGCUCCUCUCUGCGUUGGCUAAGAUGUGGCCCACCUUGAAAGCCGCCUCUGAGGUCCCCGCAAAAAGAAAGGUAGUCGCCUCUGAGGGCUGCGACGGCCUCCUCUGGUGGCAGGAACUUGUGCCCUGCCAAGCCGGAGACGUUUCUGUCUCCGUUGUGCAGGCCAACUUUUUCCUCGAGGACCAGUGGUGCAUUGAGUCGGCCUCACCCCUCGGCACUGUUAUUGGUGUCUUCGACGGCCACGGCGGCCCUGAAACCGCUCGCUUUGUGUGUGACCAGCUCCUCCCAAACCUUCAAGAGGCCAUGUCUAGUCCACUGGCCGUGACAGCCGAUGCCAUCGGGAAGGCAUUCCUGGCCAUGGAGGAAGGAUUCAUUGCGCUUGUGUCGAGCCAAUGGGAAACCAAGCCAAGCCUUGCGGCCGUUGGGACGUGCUGCCUCGUCGGUGUCGUGCAUCAGGGGACUCUUUUUGUCGCCAACCUCGGGGACUCCCGGGCUGUUCUUGGGAAGGUCGGCCAUGACAGGCGGAUUAUCGCUGAGCAGCUGUCCAGUGAGCACAAAGUCAGUGAUGAGGGUGUCAGAAAAGAGCUCAUGGCUCUGCACCCCGAUGAUCCGGAUAUUGUAGUGCUUAAGCAUAAUGUCUGGAGAGUGAAGGGCAUCUUACAGAUGUCAAGAUCAAUAGGUGACGCAUACCUGAAGCACCAGCAGUUCAACAGGGAACCACUCCCUGCGAAGUUCAGACUUCGCGAACCAUUCAGCCGCCCAAUAUUGAGUGCCGACCCAUCUAUCAUCUCACGCAGUCUUCAGCCAAGUGAUCGUUUCAUCAUAUUUGCCUCCGAUGGUCUGUGGGAACUCUUGAGUAAUGAGAAGGCCGUCGAGAUUGUUCACAAACAUAAGCGGACUGGAAUUGCAAGAAGGUUGAUAGAAGCAGCUAUGGUUGGAGCGGCGUCGAAAUGGGAGAUGCGUUACUCAGACCUCAAGAAGAUUGACCGUGGGGUUCGCAGGCAUUUCCACGAUGAUAUUACGGUCGUCGUCUUAUUUAUAGAUCAUGGCAUGUUAGUGAAAGACCACGCGCAAGGACAUCGGGCAGUUUCCAUUAGAAGUACUCCUACCUGA